UAACACAUGCAAGUCGAGGGGCAGCAUGGUCUUAGCUUGCUAAGGCCGAUGGCGACCGGCGCACGGGUGAGUAACACGUAUCCAACCUGCCGUCUACUCUUGGACAGCCUUCUGAAAGGAAGAUUAAUACAAGAUGGCAUCAUGAGUCCGCAUGUUCACAUGAUUAAAGGUAUUCCGGUAGACGAUGGGGAUGCGUUCCAUUAGAUAGUAGGCGGGGUAACGGCCCACCUAGUCUUCGAUGGAUAGGGGUUCUGAGAGGAAGGUCCCCCACAUUGGAACUGAGACACGGUCCAAACUCCUACGGGAGGCAGCAGUGAGGAAUAUUGGUCAAUGGGCGAGAGCCUGAACCAGCCAAGUAGCGUGAAGGAUGACUGCCCUAUGGGUUGUAAACUUCUUUUAUAAAGGAAUAAAGUCGGGUAUGCAUACCCGUUUGCAUGUACUUUAUGAAUAAGGAUCGGCUAACUCCGUGCCAGCAGCCGCGGUAAUACGGAGGAUCCGAGCGUUAUCCGGAUUUAUUGGGUUUAAAGGGAGCGUAGAUGGAUGUUCAAGUCAGUUGUGAAAGUUUGCGGCUCAACCGUAAAAUUGCAGUUGACACUGGAUAUCUUGAGUGCAGUUGAGGCAGGCGGAAUUCGUGGUGUAGCGGUGAAAUGCUUAGAUAUCACGAAGAACUCCGAUUGCGAAGGCAGCCUGCUAAGCUGCAACUGACAUUGAGGCUCGAAAGUGUGGGUAUCAAACAGGAUUAGAUACCCUGGUAGUCCACACGGUAAACGAUGAAUACUCGCUGUUUGCGAUAUACAGCAAGCGGCCAAGCGAAAGCGUUAAGUAUUCCACCUGGGGAGUACGCCGGCAACGGUGAAACUCAAAGGAAUUGACGGGGGCCCGCACAAGCGGAGGAACAUGUGGUUUAAUUCGAUGAUACGCGAGGAACCUUACCCGGGCUUAAAUUGCAGAUGAAUUACGGUGAAAGCCGUAAGCCGCAAGGCAUCUGUGAAGGUGCUGCAUGGUUGUCGUCAGCUCGUGCCGUGAGGUGUCGGCUUAAGUGCCAUAACGAGCGCAACCCUUGUUGUCAGUUACUAACAGGUUCCGCUGAGGACUCUGACAAGACUGCCAUCGUAAGAUGUGAGGAAGGUGGGGAUGACGUCAAAUCAGCACGGCCCUUACGUCCGGGGCUACACACGUGUUACAAUGGGGGGGUACAGAGGGCCGCUACCACGCGAGUGGAUGCCAAUCCCAAAAACCUCUCUCAGUUCGGACUGGAGUCUGCAACCCGACUCCACGAAGCUGGAUUCGCUAGUAAUCGCGCAUCAGCCACGGCGCGGUGAAUACGUUCCCGGGCCUUGUACACACCGCCCGUCAAGCCAUGGGAGCCGGGGGUACCUGAAGUGCGUAACCGCGAGGAGCGCCCUAGGGUAAAACUGGUGACUGGGGCUAAGUCAU
rnacentral:rRNA from 1 species